CAAAAAAUAUCAAUGCUGGAUACUAUGUAUCUAGUAAUUGGAAUGAGUACAAUUUAAAUCCCUUAACAAGUAACAAUUAGAGGGCAAGUCUGGUGCCAGCAGCCGCGGUAAUUCCAGCUCUAAUAGCGUAUAUUAAUAUUGUUGCAGUUAAAAAGCUCGUAGUUGAAAUUUGGAACUUUAUUAUAUUGGUUUAUCUUUUGAUGAACUGUAUAAUGGGUUUCUUCCUACUAGAGUUCGAUUCUGUUCUUAAUUGAAUGGAGUAGCUAUCUUUCGGGGUAGUCAAUUGGUUAUUAUGUCUCCACUAAUGAGCGGAGAGGGGUAAAACCUUCAAAGUAAGUUUUGUGGAUCAAGGUAUAGUAAUUAAUUGGAGUUCUAGUUCGUUUACUUUGAGAAAAUUAGAGUGUUUAAAGCAGCCUCUUGGGGCACUGAAUACAUUAGCAUGGGAUAAUAAAAUAGGAUCUUCACAAUAUAUUUUAUUGGUUUAAAUUGCGUAUGAAGAUAAUGAUUAAUA
rnacentral:rRNA from 1 species